CAGAUACUGCCCAUGGUGAAGCUUGGGUGCACUGGGCCGGUUAUCCAGCCGUGUGGAAUCAACAUCUCCAGCUGAACUGGGGCCGGGAAUUAUAUAAGAAUCCUUAGCAGCAUGAGUGCCAGCCAGUAAUUGCUGUUCUUUGCAUUGCUGAGGAGGACAGUCCUGCCAACAUAACAGUUUGUUCAAUAACAGGAGACAAACAGAAACACAGAGGUGCUAUACAUUUCAAUGGAAAAACAAAAGCAUCUCCCAUCAUUUUGGCGUGGCU